UCAAGAACACUUAUGUGCAUAACUGAUGCUUAGCACUGUUUUUCCUCCCUGUGGCUGAGGUCUCUGAGCCCACCUGUGAUGGAGUGCCAGUCCUUCAGCAGGCAGACAUGGCAGGCAGUGCCUCCUGCCAGGUCCCCACACUGCUCUCUGAGGACUCACACCACUGUGCCUGGAGCCCGGUACUAGCACAGUGCUUGCGGUGGGAGCAGCAAGUGUGGUUUCCCCCCCCAAAACCCUGACAUUUCAAGAUUUGGUUUUGUUUGGAUUCAGAAUGAACCCAAAGCACAGAACUUCUCCUGCCGGCAUUUUUUUGGGGGGGAUGGGGGGGUUGGAUGCAACGCCCAGGCACAGGGAAUUCCUGGGAACGCUGACUUCACGCUACUCCUCUUGCUGCUCUGUCCUCCGGCCAAGGCGCAGGCCAGCCAUGGGGGCCGAGGUUCUCAUGGAGCGGUGAGCGGAGGCCUGGGGCUUGCAGACUCUCUGGGCUCCUGGGCUGCUGCCCGUGCCCCAGGCAGCCGCUCAGGAGCUGGGGGAGGUGGAGGAUGGCCAGGCAGCAGGUCUGGCAGUUUCUUGGCAGAGUCUGACUACAAUCAAACCGUCUCCACAAAACAUCGCGAUGAGCCAGCACAUUCCAAUGGGGAAAUGUCUUGUCUAAGUGUUUCUGACCAACUCUCGUGCGGCGGCUUUCUCACUUUUCCUCCUGGCUGUGUUUCUGAAGGAAAAAGCUCUUCAAGUACACAGCCCUGGCUGGCGAUGCUGCAGGUGGGACUGUGCUGUCUCAGCUCUGGGGUCCCACUCCAGGCCCUUCAUCUAAGCUCUGACACACCUUGGGAGAACCCCACCAGUGCUGUGCUGGGCUGCCCAAGGAGCCCUAAACAGACACGAGGGGAAGAAGGUGUGGGUGCCUUAUGGUUUGAUCAGCCCCACCUUGUAGCUGAGCACUGCAAAGAGCAAACCCUGAGAAGCCAACCACACCAGGCAGCAGGAGACCCCUAGAAGACCCCCUGAGACCUUCAGCACUGCCACGAUGGGGGAAUUGGAUGGGAUGGGGCCAGGAGGAGAGGCACUUUCUGGGCUGAAAGUGGAUUUGCACGGUUGCAUGGAGGAUGCUGUGCCUAGGACGGUGGUCCUGUCUCCUGCCCUCAGCAAACUGACCCUGACCGGGACGUGUGAGGGGAGAUGUGGCCCCCCGCAGAUCCCCGCUCUAGGCAGCUGAUGAGGUGUGACGUGCUGGGGGCCAGUAGCAGCGCGUAGCCUCUCCCUCUGCAGCGCCCUUCCUGUGUGUGCAGCCGGAGUGAAAACACCUGGAGCCAAUUUCCAGCCCCAGGAAAAAAAUAAAAAAAUAAAAAAAAAA